CCCUUAGAUGUUCUGGGCCGCACGCGUGCUACACUGAGUGGAUCAGCGGGUCAGGUUGCGCGAAAGUGUUUCCUAAUCUUUAAAUCCGCUCGUGAUGGGGAUUGACGGUUGCAAUUUUCCGUCAUGAACGAGGAAUACCAUGUAAGCGCGGGUCAUCAUCCCGCGCUGAAUACGUCCCUGCCCUUUGUACACACCGCCCGUCGCUCCUACCGAUUGAGUGGUCCGGUGAGGCUUUGGGAUCUGAGCGGAAAGAGCGUUUCGCUGUUUCUGCCCGGAAAACUCAGUCGAACCUUAUCAUUUAGAGGAAGGAGAAGUCGUAACA
rnacentral:rRNA from 1 species